AUUGGGGAUGCUGAUGCAGUUAGGAGUAGCCUUCAGGAAGCGGGGUGGAUGAAUAGUAACGGAUGGACCGCCAUCAUGUGGGCAGCAGCGAAUGGUCACACAGACUGCGUCAGACUAUUAUUAGGGAAGGAGGGAGGCCUGAGGUAUAAUAAUGACUGGACCGCUCUCAUGUAUGCAGCACAGAAUGGCCACUCAGAGUGUGUCAGACUACUCCUGGAGAAGCAGGGGGGAAUGACGGAUUACAACGGAUGGACCGCUCUCAUGAGAGCGGCAGAGGAAGGCCAUAAAGACUGUGUCAGUCUCCUACUAGAGAAAGAAGGAGGUAUGCAAGCAAGGAGUAACGGAUGGACAGCCCUCAUGUGGGCAGUAUGUAACGAUCAGAUAGAGUGUGCGAGGAUCCUUGUAGAGAAGGAGAAGAACAUAAACAGGAGUAGUCUCUUGGACAUAGCCGAGGGCAAUAGAGAGAUACUAGCCCUCCUCUCAGAGUAGCCAGAGUAAACAACUACCGCCUCCACAUCAGACCUUACACAUCAGAGCCCCGCCACGCAGCAGGACUCCGGGGUCAGCAGCCUCUAGCGCGGGAGCGAACGCGGCUCAGGGAAGUCGGCAAGCCGGCUCCGUAACCUCGGGAAAAGGAGUGGCUCUGACGGCGCGCCGGGUCAGAACUGGAACGGACGCGGGGAUCCCGACUGUUUACUAGAAACACAGCGUCGCGAGGGCCGCACCCGGCGCUGGCGCGACGUGAUUUCUGCCCAGUGCCACGACCGUCACCGUGAAGCGAUCCGCCGAAGCCCUGGUAAACGGCGGGAGUAACUAUGACUCUCUUAAGGUAGCCAAAUGCCUCGUCGGGCAAUUUCCGACGUGCAUGAAUGGACCAACGAGGAUCCCACUGUCCCGAGCCGCG
rnacentral:rRNA from 1 species